rnacentral:rRNA from 1 species
GGACGAACGCUGGCGGCGUGCUUAACACAUGCAAGUCGAACGGUGAAGGGAAGCUUGCUUCCCGGAUCAGUGGCGAACGGGUGAGUAACACGUGGGCAAUCUGCCCCAGACUUUGGGAUAACUACUCGAAAGAGUAGCUAAUACCGAAUAUUCAGCCUUGCAGGCAUCUGCGAGGCUGGAAAGUUUCUCGGUCUGGGAUGAGCCCGCGGCCUAUCAGCUAGUUGGUGAGGUAAUGGGCUCACCCAAGGCGACGACGGGUAGCCGGCCUGAGAGGGCGACCGGCCACACUGGGACUGAGACACGGCCCAGACUCCUACGGGAGGCAGCAGUGGGGAAUAUUGCGCAAUGGGCGAAAGCCUGACGCAGCAACGCCGCGUGCGGGAUGAAGGCCUUCGGGUUGUAAACCGCUUUCAGCAGGGAAGAAGCGAAAGUGACGGUACCUGCAGAAGAAGCACCGGCUAACUACGUG